rnacentral:rRNA from 1 species
AUGUUUGAAAAUAUGUGGGUUCGGCUGGAGGGGUUCAAUGACGUCGUUACUGCAGCUUGGGAUAAGGCUACCAAGUCGAGUGACCCUUACACCAAUUUGCAUAACAAAUUAUCUUUCACCGCCAAGCAGCUCAAGUCUUGGGCCUCCUCUCAGUUAAGAACCAGAAUUGUUCAUGAGCUCAUAUUACAAUUGGAUAUUGCUAGGGAUAACAGGAUGCUCACCCCCGAGGAACACACCUUUAGAGGCAAGUUAAAGAUGACGAGCCUUGGUUUUGCUGCCUUGGACAGAUGUAUGUUGCGCCAACGUUCCAGAUUUCUCAGACUCAAGGAGGGGGACUACAAUUCUCGGUUUUUUCACUUGAAGGCCACGGCUAGAAGAAAUUACUUCUAUCUUAGUUCAUGA